GUCGAUGGACCACGGUAAACACAAAUAAAGUUCUGAUCCAAUGAUUUCACAAUCUGCAGACUCAUUUGACGCCUUAUUCCUGACGACACUGCUGGUUUAAUGGCUUACGUCUGAAGAGGAACCAGGAAAGUGGUCCAAAGUCCUCUUUUAAUUAAGAAUCUUUGUGAAUUUCCUGCAGCUGAUACGACCAGAACAUCACCUCACUGCUCUCUGUUUACUCCUGCGCCUCCCUGUUCAGUGUCCUUGAUUCCUCUGCUCAACAGCAUCCAGCACGCAGCUGCACGACAGGUUUCAAUCUCAACAGCUUCCAGCCCAGGUUUCUGCUCUUAUGAUGUUCUUCCUCCACACCCUGCUCCUCUCUCAGCAUGACCUCAGUGGCCGACUGAACCCUGUUUCUGG